rnacentral:rRNA from 1 species
UACGUAGGCAGCAAGCGUUGUUCGGAGUUACUGGGCGUAAAGGGUGUGUAGGCGGUUCUUUAAGUUUGGUGUGAAAUCUCCCGGCUCAACUGGGAGGGUGCGCCGAAUACUGAGGGACUAGAGUACGGGAGAGGAAAGUGAAAUUCCUGGUGUAGCGGUGAAAUGCGUAGAUAUCAGGAGGAACACCGGUGGUGUAGACGGCUUUCUGGACCGUAACUGACGCUGAGACACGAAAGCGUGGGUAGCAAACAGG